AACGAACGCUGGCGGCGCGCCUAACACAUGCAAGUCUCACGAGAAACCCUGUAGCAAUACGGGGCGGUAAAGUGGCGAACGGGUGAGCAAUGCGUGGGUAACCUACCUCCGAGAUUGGGAUAACCCGCCGAAAGGCGGGCUAAUACCGAAUAAGACCACAUGCCGACAGGCACGGGGUAAAAGGUGGCCUAGGGUCCGCAAGGACUAUGCUGCCGCUUGAAGAAGGGCUCACGUCCCAUCAGCUUGUUGGUAGGGUAACGGCUUACCAAGGCAAUGACGGGUAGCUGGUCUGAGAGGACGACCAGCCACACUGGCACUGAGACACGGGCCAGACUCCUACGGG
rnacentral:rRNA from 1 species